GACCCAAUGCUUGACAAAUAUACCGAUGAAACACCGCUGGCUCUUCGUUGAGCUCGGACGAGAUUUGAAUUUUCCGGCGGGUUACGGGUAGCAAAACUACAGUUUGAUGCCGUCCUCUUCUACCGUAAAAGAUAGAGCCCUUAUCAAGCACAAACAAGUGGAGGGGAAGAUCUUUGUCAGAUUAGAUCAUGGGAAGAAUGCCAAGAAUUGGAUGCUGACCGUUGGUUGUAGUCUUCCUGGAAAAUGGGUUCUUCACUGGGGAGUUUCUUAUGUUGACGACGUUGGCAGUGAAUGGGAUCAACCUCCUAGUGAAAUGAGGCCACCUGGUUCAAUUCCCAUCAAGGACUAUGCAAUAGAUACACCCUUGAAUAAAUCAGCGUUGCCCGUAGGAGGUGAUCAAUCUCAUGAAGUGAAGAUUGAUGUUAAACCCAACAGUGCAAUUGCAGCGAUAAAUUUUGUUCUCAAGGAUGAAGAAACUGGUGCCUGGUAUCAGCAUAGAGGAGAGAUUUUAGAGUUCCUCUUGUGGACUACCCGCAAGAGGAUGAAAAUGUGGUUGGAGCAAAAUGGGGCCUGGGCGCAUGGCCAGGAGAUUUGGGGAAGCUAUCAAAUGCGUUUGUCAAAGCAGAAUCACCGUACUCCAAAGAUCAAGGUAGCAGCAAUGAAUCCAGAGACCCUCAACAGAAACUAGGCAUGUAGAAGAGUUCUAUGAAGAACUGGCCAUUGCAAAAGAAAUUGCUGUGAAUAAUUCAGUAAAUGUUUCUGUAAGGAAGUGCCCUGAGACAGCUAAGAAUCUUCUAUGCUUAGAAACAGAUUUGCCUGAUCAUGUUGUUGUUCACUGGGGAGUUUGUAGAGAUGAUACUAAAAGAUGGGAAAUUCCAGCUGCCCCACAUACACAAGAAACAGUAGUAUUCAAGGACAAGGCUUUGCAGACUCAAUUACAGCAAAAAGAGGGUGGAAAAGGAUAUUGGGCAUUGUUUACUUUGGAAGAAGGACUUGCAGGAUUUCUUUUUGUUUUCAAGCUAAAUGAAAGUACGUGGUUGAAAUGUGCGGGCAAUGACUUGUACAUCCCUCUGCCCAGCUGAAAUCACUGAAUUGCUCUACCUAGAGAGGUUCCAUCUGAAGAUGCAAAGGUACCCGACAGUAGUACAGAAGCAGUUCAAGAAAAAAAAAAUACUGCAUAUACCAAUGGAAUAAUAAAUGAAAUAAGGAACUUGGUGAGUGACAUUUCCUCUGAGAAGAAUCAAAAGACAAAGUCCAAAGAAGCACAAGAAAGCAUUCUUCAAGAAAUAGAAAAAUUGGCUUCCGAAGCCUAUAGUAUCUUCCGAAGCACUGUUCCAACUUUCACAGAGGAAGCAAUUUCAGAGACUGAAGAAUUGAAAGCCCCUGCCAAAAUAUGCCCAGGGAUAGGCACAGGUUUUGAAAUAUUGUGCCAAGAUUUUAACUGGGAAUCUCAUAAAUCUGGAAGAUGGUGCAUGGAACUCCAAAGUAAAGCUGCAGAAUUAUCUUCACUAGGUUUCACUGUGAUUUGGUUACCACCCCCUACAGACUGUGUGUCACCUGUAGGGUACAUGCUGAAGGAUUUAUAUAAUCUGAACUCCAGAUACGGAAAUAUUGACGAACUGAAGGAGACUGCGAGGACAUUCCAUAAAGUCGGUAUAAAAGUUCUUGGAGAUGCUGUGCUGAACCACCGUUGUGCAGAAUAUCAGAAUCAAAAUGGUAUUUGGAAUAUCUUUGGUGGUCGUUUAAAUUGGGAUGAUCGUGCAGUUGCUGCUGACGAUCCACAUUUUCAGGGCAGGGGCAAUAAAAGUAGUGGGGAGUGUUUUCAUGCUGCUCCAAACAUUGAUCAUUCACAAGAUUUUGUGAGGAAGGAUAUCAAAGAAUGGUUACACUGGCUAAGGGAAGAAAUUGGGUAUGACGGAUGGAGGCUUGAUUUCGUUAGAGGAUUUUGGGGUGGUUAUGUCAAGGACUACAUUGAUUCUACUGAGCCAUACUUUGCUGUUGCGAGUACUGGGAUUCCCUAUGUUAUACAUACAGUGAAAUGGAUCACAAUCAAGAUGCACACAGGCAGAGAAUUGUUGAUUGGAUCAAUGCUACUAAUGGAACUGCUGGUGUAUUUGAUGUCACAACAAAAGGGAUUCUCCAUGCAGCACUGGAAAGAUGCGAGUAUUGGCGAUUAUCAGAUCAGAAGGGAAAGCCUCCAGGGGUUCUUGGAUGGUGGCCAUCUCGUGCUGUCACUUUCAUAGAGAAUCACGAUACUGGUUCUACUCAGGGUCAUUGGAGGUUUCCACAUGAUAAAGAAAUGCAAGGAUAUGCUUACAUUCUGACUCAUCCAGGAACACCAACAGUUUUCUAUGACCACAUUUUCUCUCACUACCAUUCUGAAAUUAAAGCUCUACUCUCUCUGAGAAACCGGAACAAGCUCAACUGUCGGAGUAGAGUUAAAAUUACCAAGGCAGAAAGAGACGUGUAUGCGGCCAUCAUUGAUGAAAAGGUUGACGUAAAAAUCGGACCAGAUCACUAUGAACCCCCAAGUGGACCUCGGCAGAGACUACAAGGUCUGGAAAGCAUCAUAA